rnacentral:lncRNA from 10 species
CAUUCACUUCCCAGUGGCCAUUUAGAUUGCCUCCACCUCUUGGCCAUUGCAUAUAAUGCUGCAAUGAACACAGUGUAGAUACUUCUUGGAGAUCCUGUUUUCAUUUUUUUUUCUGAUGAAUACUUAGAAGUGGGAUUGCUGGAGCAUAUGGCAGUUCUGUUUUUAAGGCUUUGAGGAACCUCCAUGCUGUUUUCCAUAGUGGGUGAACCAUUUUACAUUCCACAGCAGGUGCACCAUUUUAUAUUGCAUAGUGGGUGCACCAUUUUACAUUCCAUAGCAGGUGAACAAUUUUACAUUCCAUAGUGGGUGAACCAUUUUACAUUUCAUAGUGGGUGCACCAUUUUACAUUCCAUAGCAAGUGAACCAUUUUACAUUCCAUAGCGGGUGAACAAUUUUACAUUCCAUAGUGGGUGAACCAUUUUACAUUCCAUAGUGGGUGAACCAUUUUACAUUCCAUAGUGGGUGAACCAUUUUACAUUCCAUAGCGGGUGAACAAUUUUACAUUCUAUAGCGGGUGAACCAUUUUACAUUCCAUAGUGGGUGCACCAUUUUACAUUCCAUAGCAAGUGAACCAUUUUACAUUCCAUAGCGGGUGAACAAUUUUACAUUCCAUAGCGGGUGAACCAUUUUACAUUCCAUAGCGGGUGAACCAUUUUACAUUCCAUAGUGGGUGAACCAUUUUACAUUCCAUAGCGGGUGAACCAUUUUACAUUCCAUAGCGGGUGAACCAUUUUACAUUCCAUAGCGGGUGAACCAUUUUACAUUCCAUAAUGGGUGAACCAUUUUACAUUUCAUAGCGGGUGAACUAUUUUACAUUCCAUAGCGGGUGAACCAUUUUACAUUCCAUAGCGGGUGAACCAUUUUACAUUCCAUAGCAGGUGAACCAUUUUAUAUUCCAUAGCGGGUGCACCAUUUUAUAUUGCAUAGUGAGUGAACCAUUUUACAUUCCAUAAUGGGUGAACCAUUUUACAUUUCAUAGCGGGUGAACAAUUUUACAUUCCAUAGCGGGUGAACAAUUUUACAUUCCAUAGCGGGUGAACCAUUUUACAUUCCAUAAUGGGUGAACCAUUUUACAUUCCACAGCAGGUGCACCAUUUUACAUUCCAUAGCGGGUGCACCAUUUUACGUUCCUGCCAACAGUGCACAGUGGCUUCAAUAUCUCCUCCUCCUCACCAACACUUGCUACCUUCUGUUUCUUGAUAAUGGCCAUCUUAGUAGGUGUGAGGCUUAUCUUACACCAUACACAAAAAUAAACUCAAAAUGGAUUAAAGGCGUAGCAUAAGACCUGAAAGUAUAAAACUUCUAGAAGAAAACAGGAGAAAAACUCUGUUGCAUUGGUCUUGGUAGUGACUUCUUGGAUAAGUCCUAAAAGCACAGGCAGUGAAAGCAAAAAGAGACAAGCAGGAUUGCAUCAAACCCAAAAGCCUCUGUGCAGCAAAGGAGGCAACGAGCAGAGUGAAAAGGUGACCUAUGGACUUGGAGAAAGUGUCUGCAAACCAUGUGAUAUGGUUUGGCUGUGUCCCCACCCAAAUCUCAUCUUGAAUUCCCACCUGUUGUGGGAGGGAUCUGUUGGGAGGUAAUUGAAUCAUGGGGGUGGGUCUUUCUGUGCUAUUCUUGUGAUAGUGAAUGAGUCUCAUGAGAUCUGAUGGUUUUAUAAAAAUGG